UCUAAUGUGGCAGAAUAAGUGUAAUGGAUUUAAGCCCCAUCUAUAAAGAAUAUUUCUUUUAUUAGAA
rnacentral:tRNA from 1 species